UGCCAGCAGCCGCGGUAAUACAGAGGGUGCUAACGUUGUUCGGAAUUACUGGGCAUAAAGCACACGUAGGCGGUUUUGUAAGUGUGGAGUGAAAUCCCACGGCUCACCCGUGGAACUGCUUUGCAUACUGCAAGACUUGAGGACGGUAGGGGAGAGCGGAACUCCUGGUGGAGCGGUGAAAUGCGUAGAUAUCAGGAGGAACACCGGUGGCGAAGGCGGCUCUCUGGUCCGUUUCUGACGCUGAGGUGCGAAAGCCAGGGUAGCGAACGGGAUUAGAUA
rnacentral:rRNA from 1 species